GCAAACUUGGUCAUUUAGAGGAAGUAAAAGUCGUAACAAGGUUUCCGUAGGUGAACCUGCGGAAGGAUCAUUACCGAGUGAGGGUUCCACAAAAAGGGCCCGACCUCCCAACCCUGUGUCUAUUCUACCGUGUUGCUUCGGCGGGCCCGUCCCUUAGGACCGCCGGAGGGGCCUCUGCCGCCCCUCUGGCCUGCGCCCGUCGAGAGCCCAACCCCCCUAAACCCUGAUUAAGAUGUGGUCUGAACUGUUAUAUUUAAUAACUAAAAAACUUUCAACAACGGAUCUCUUGGUUCUGGCAUCGAUGAAGAACGCAGC
rnacentral:misc_RNA from 1 species